rnacentral:tRNA from 1 species
GCACUGGUAGUUCAGUGGUAGAAUUCUUGCCUUCCAUGCAAACACCAAGAAAUGCUAGCUAGUGCA